rnacentral:rRNA from 1 species
GGUCGUUAAGCCUGCCUGGGCCAAUGGUACUUCGUCUUAAGGCGCGGGAGAGUAGGUCGCCGCCAGGU